rnacentral:rRNA from 1 species
AUUGAACGCUGGCGGCAGGCCUAACACAUGCAAGUCGAGCGGAUGAAGGGAGCUUGCUCCUGGAUUCAGCGGCGGACGGGUGAGUAAUGCCUAGGAAUCUGCCUGGUAGUGGGGGAUGACGUCCGGAAACGGGCGCUAAUACCGCAUACGUCCUGAGGGAGAAAGUGGGGGAUCUUCGGACCUCACGCUAUCAGAUGAGCCUAGGUCGGAUUAGCUAGUUGGUGGGGUAAAGGCCUACCAAGGCGACGAUCCGUAACUGGUCUGAGAGGAUGAUCAGUCACACUGGAACUGAGACACGGCCCAGACUCCUACGGGAGGCAGCAGUGGGGAAUAUUGGACAAUGGGGGAAAGCCUGAUCCAGCCAUGCCGCGUGAGCGAAGAAGGUCUUCGGAUUGUAAAGCACUUUCAGUUGGGAGGAAGGGCAGUAAGUUAACACAUUGCUGUUUUGACGUUACCAACAGAAGAAGCACCGGCUAACUUCGUG